UACGUAGGGUGCGAGCGUUAAUCGGAAUUACUGGGCGUAAAGCGUGCGCAGGCGGUUUCGUAAGCCAGAUGUGAAAUCCCCGGGCUUAACCUGGGAAUGGCAUUUGGGACUGCAAGGCUUGAGUGCGGCAGAGGAGACUGGAAUUCCUGGUGUAGCAGUGAAAUGCGUAGAUAUCUAAGGGAACGCCUGUGGCGAAAGCGGGUGACUGGGCCUGUCCUGACGCUGAGACGCGAAAGCGUAGGGAGCAAACGGG
rnacentral:rRNA from 1 species